CAUGUUCGUGUAUCGGCGGCGAGCCGGUAGCCACAAUUUGAUAUGGUUACGGUAUACUGUAUGAGUACAGUACCUGAGAAGAUAGCAAAAGCGAGAGAAAAAACGUGAAGAAGAUGGCUAUGUGGAGUUGGAAUUAAAAACCAAAAAGGACCAUUUUGUUCCGUCCAGGAGUCAUUUUCGUGGGUUGGGGAGUCCGGUACUUUUCAAUUUCCGGUGUUGAAUUAUCAUGUACUAACCCUUUGUACUCUAAAAUUAUAAGAUGUUCUACUGUACCUUUUAUUGUAAGUCAUUUAAAAAAAAGAUUUGACAAAGAUUAUGUAAAAGUAUAGCAAUGUACUAUGCAAUAACUAAAAAGUAUAAUAUGAUGAUGCACACUAUGAUGAUUUAUAAUAAAAACUAAUUUGCAGUUCUAGACGUUGGUAGAUUGUUCUCAAACUUGGUCAAAUUCUAAGAGAUUUGAUUUAGGACAAAACUAGAACAUCUUGUAAACAGAUAGAGUAGAACACUCCGAUUCUUAUUAAAAAUUAUUUCACAAUAGAAAAACAUGGUAUCUACCUCUAAGAAAUAUUGGCAGCUUGACCACGGAUAAAAAUAAAUGAAAACAUCCAAACAAAAUAAACAAAUAAAGCUUCAAAAAAAUGUUGAAGGUACCAUAAUGUCUCGGAAUUUUGAAGCUCGUAAUAUCAGAAAAUAGAUCAAAUUAAAAUGUAUUGAAGU
rnacentral:lncRNA from 1 species